GACGAACGCUGGCGGCGUGCUUAACACAUGCAAGUCGAACGGAAAGGCCCUGUCUUUGUGGGGUGCUCGAGGGGCGAACGGGUGAGUAACACGUGAGUAACCUGCCCCUGACUUUGGGAUAACUUCAGGAAACUGGGGCUAAUACCGGAUAGGAGCUCCUGCUGCAUGGUGGGGGUUGGAAAGUUUCGGCGGUUGGGGAUGGACUCGCGGCUUAUCAGCUUGUUGGUUGGGUAGUGGCUUACCAAGGCUUUGACGCGUAGCCUGCCUGCGAGGGUGACCGGCCCCAUUGGGACUGGGAUGCGGCCCAGACCCCUCCGGGAGGCAGCGGUGCGGUGUAUUGCACUAUGGGCGGAGGCCUGAUGCAGCCACGCAGCGUGCGGGAUGACGGCCUUGGGGUUGUGUACCGAUUUCGCCUGUCACGAGGCGUGAGUGACAGUAAUGGGUAAAGAAGCACCGGCUAACUACGUG
rnacentral:rRNA from 1 species